rnacentral:rRNA from 1 species
AGAGUUUGAUCCUGGCUCAGGGCUAACGCUGGCGGCGUGUCUUAGCCAUGCAAGUCGAGCGGACUUAUGGGGUAACUUAUAAGUCAGCGGCGGACGGCGGAGUAACACGUAGCUAACCUACCCUCUGGACGGGGAUAACCUACCGAAAGGUGGGCUAAUACCCGAUGUAGUCAUCCUGUAUAGGGGUGAUGAAAGGUGGGCUUCUGUUUACAAGCUCAUGCUGGAGGAGGGGGCUGCGGCCUAUCAGGUAGUUGGUAGGGUAAUAGCCUACCAAGCCGAUGACGGGUAGCCGGCCUGAGAGGGUGACCGGCCCGAGGGGCACUGAGAUACGGGUCCCACUCCUACGGGAGGCAGCAGGCUAGAAAUUUGGGCAAUGGGGGAAACCCUGACCCAGUGACGCCGCGUGCAGGAAGGAGCCCUUCGGGGUGUAAACUGCUGUCGUGUAGGGAGAAGGGUACUAAGGUGAACAAUCUUAGUACUUGACGGUACUACAGGAGGAAGCCCAGGCUAACCUCGUGCCAGCAGCCGCGGUAAUACGGGGUGGGCGAGCGUUGCCUGGAAUUACUGGGUUUAAAGGGGGUGUAGGCGGUCUGGAUAGUCGGGUGUGUAAUGCAAUCGCUCAACGAUUGAGCUGCAUCUGAUACUUCCAGGCUAGAGGGCGGUAGAGGAGAGCGGAACUCCCGGUGUAGCGGUGGAAUGCGUAGAUAUCGGGAGGAACGCCGGUGGCGAAGGCGGCUCUCUGGGCCGUUCCUGACGCUGAGGCCCGAAAGCUGGGGGAGCGAAAGGGAUUAGAUACCCCUGUAGUCCCAGCCGUAAACGAUGGGCACUAGGUGUACCUUUUAACGGAGGUAUACCGUCGGGAAACCAAUAAGUGCCCCACCUGGGGAGUACGCCCGCAAGGGUGAAACUCAAGGAAUUGACGG